AUGCUAUUUGUUAAAUGUUAUUUUAAAUCACCAAACCUAACUACGAGGCACUCGCGGACCCCACACACAACCCACCAAGAACUCUCCAAAUUCCCCCUCCCUAAUUGACCUUUGGUCACCACUCACAAACACCCAUUUCUCUCUUUCCUGUCACCACCAUGUGUUUGAUGAUGUUUGAUGACACGAGGUUUUGUGGUACUCUGCGGCAAACCGUGCCAGAUACUGUGGUUGAUGAUGAUUAUAGUGACGAAGAAAUAGAUAUAGAUGAGCUUGAGCGAAGGAUGUGGAGGGACAAAAUGCGUCUGAAGCGAUUGAGAGAACAAACCAAGGCUAAAGAAGGGAGUGAUGCAGCAAAGGAAAGACAGUUUCAAGAACAAGCAAGGAUGAAAAAGAUGGCAAGAGCUCAAGAACAGGCAAGGGUGAAAAAGAUGUAUGGAAUAUUUAAGUACAAACCGACGUUAAAGAAGAAAUUUGUGAUACUGCAAUAUUAAUUAAUUAUAAGAUGCUUAUAAUACAGUGGGUUAAAUAAACAUAUAUUCUACGGUUACUAUAAAUAGAAAAUAUGUAAUAGUAUAAGUAUAUGUCUAUGUGAAUGUGAGUACAUAUGUAUUCACAUGUAUAAUUAAUAAUUAGUGAGGAAAUUUGUUUCACUCAUGUUAAAAGAAAUUAAGAAAUAUAUGUAUGUGUGUCACACUCUUUUAUGUC